UAAGGAAUAUUGGGCAAUGGACGCAAGUCUGACCCAGCCAUGCCGCGUGAAGGAUGAAGGUCCUCUGGAUUGUAAACUUCUUUUAUCAGGGAAGAAAUCCACUGUUUCUACGGUGGUUGACGGUACCUGAGGAAUAAGCACCGGCUAACUCCGUGCCAGCAGCCGCGGUAAUACGGAGGGUGCAAGCGUUAUCCGGAUUUACUGGGUUUAAAGGGUGCGUAGGCGGGCCUUUAAGUCAGUGGUGAAAUCUCCGGGCCUAACCCGGAAACUGCCAUUGAUACUAUUGGUCUUGAAUUCAGUUGAGGUGGGCGGAAUGUGUCGUGUAGCGGUGAAAUGCUUAGAUAUGACACAGAACACCGAUUGCGAAGGCAGCUCGCUAAACUGACAUUGACGCUGAGGCACGAAAGCGUGGGGAUCAAACAGGAUUAGAUACCCCCGUAGUCC
rnacentral:rRNA from 1 species